rnacentral:rRNA from 1 species
AGAGCACAGGGUGGAUGCCUUGGCAUCAGGAGCCGAAGAAGGACGUGAUAAGCUGCGAUAAGCUGCGGUGAGGCGCAAAUAGCCGUUGACCCGCAGAUUUCCGAAUGGGGAAACCCGGCCAGGCAAUACCUGGUCACUGCAUGGUGAAUUCAUAGCCAUGCAGGGGGAACCCGCCGAACUGAAACAUCUAAGUAGGCGGAGGAAGAGAAAGAAACAUCGAUUUCCUAAGUAGCGGCGAGCGAAAGGGAAAGAGGCCAAACCAUGGGUAGCAAUACCCAUGGGGUUGCGGACUGCGGAAGCUAGCGCUGAGGGUAGCCGAACUGCAUGGGAAGGCAGAUCGGAGAGGGUGAGAAUCCCGUAGGCGAAACCUAAGGCGCGGCGGCAGGAUCCAGAGUACCACCGGACACGUGGAACCCGGUGGGAAGCAGGGGGGACCACCCCCCAAGCCUAAAUACUACCUGAUGACCGAUAGCGCAUAGUACUGUGAAGGAAAGGUGAAAAGAACCCCGGGAGGGGAGUGAAAGAGAACCUGAAACCCUGUGUUUACAAGCAGAUAGAGCACGGAUUAAGUGCGAUAUCGUACUUUUUGUAGAACGGUCCGGCGAGUAUAUGUAUGCAGCGAGGUUAAUUGGUUAAGCCAAGGAGCCGAAGGGAAACCGAGUGUGAAUAGCGCGUAUAGUUGCAUGCAUAUGACCCGAAACCGGGUGAUCUACCCAUGGGCAGGCUGAAGCGGGAGUAAAAUCCCGUGGAGGGCCGAACUCACUGCUGUUGAAAAAGUAGGAGAUGACCUGUGGGUAGGGGAGAAAUUCCAAUCGAACCCGGAGAUAGCUGGUUCUCCCCGAAAUAGCUUUAGGGCUAGCCUUGUGUUAGUCUAACGGAGGUAAAGCACUGAAUGGGCUAGGGGCCGAUAAGGUUACCGAACCCUAUCAAACUCAGAAUGCCGUAUAGAUGGUGCACAGGAGUCAGACUAUGUGAGAUAAGUUUCAUAGUCGAGAGGGAAACAGCCCAGACCUACAGCUAAGGUCCCGAAAUAGGUUUAAGUGGAGAAGGAUGUCCGAUUGCGAAGACAACCAGGAUGUUGGCUUAGAAGCAGCCAUACAUUCAAAGAGUGCGUAACAGCUCACUGGUCGAGUGAUUGGGCGCCGAAAAUGUAACGGGGCUAAAACCUAUACCGAAGCUUAGGCAGCGAUAAUGCUGGGUAGGGGAGCGUCGUAUUGUAGGGCGAAGCGGUACCGGAAGGAGCCGUGGACGAGAUACGAGUGAGAAUGCCGGAAUGAGUAGCGAGAAUUAUGUGAGAAUCAUAAUGGUCGAAAGCCUAAGGUUUCUUGAGGAAGGUUCGUCCGCUCAAGGUAAGCCGGGAGCUAAGGCGAGGCCGGAAGGCGUAGUCGAUGCACAUACGGUUGAGAUUCCGUAGCCGCCGAAACUGUUAAGCACAGGGACGCAGGAGGAUAGCCUGACCCCGCCGUUGGUAGAGUGGGGCCUGAAAAGGGGAGCGAAAAAUAAGUAGCGAAGCAGGUGAAUCCACACUGACGAGAAAAGCUGUGUGUAUUGGUUAGGCGCCCGUACCGCAAACCGACACAGGUAGGCGAGGAGAGAAUCCUAAGACCAACGGGAGAAGUGUUGUUAAGGAACUCGGCAAAAUGGCCCCGUAACUUCGGGAUAAGGGGAGCCAUAGAGAUAUGGCCGCAGAGAAUAGUCCCAAGCGACUGUUUAGCAAAAACACAGGUUUCUGCUAAGUCGAAAGACGACGUAUAGGAGCUGACGCCUGCCCGGUGCUGGAAGGUCAAGGGGAACGCUUAGCGCGCGAGCGCGAAGGUGUGAACUUAAGCCCCAGUAAACGGCGGCCGUAACUAUAACGGUCCUAAGGUAGCGAAAUUCCUUGUCGGGUAAGUUCCGACCCGCACGAAUGGUGUAAUGAUCUGGGCACUGUCUCGACUACCCGCCCGGCGAAAUUGUAGUACCGGUGAAGAUGCCGGUUACCCGCGACAAGACGGAAAGACCCCAUGGAGCUUUACUGUAGCUUGAUAUUGGGUUCUGGUAUUCUAUGUACAGGAUAGGCGGGAGGCUGGGAAGCAGUGGCGCCAGCUGCUGUGGAGCCGCCCUUGGGAUACCGCUCUUAGAGUGCUGGAAUUCUAACCUGCGGCCAUGAAACUGGUCGGGGGACAUUGUCAGGUGGGCAGUUUGACUGGGGCGGUCGCCUCCCAAAAGGUAA